rnacentral:rRNA from 1 species
AACGAACGCUGGCGGCAGGCUUAACACAUGCAAGUCGAGCGCCCCGCAAGGGGAGCGGCAGACGGGUGAGUAACACGUGGGAAUCUACCCAUCCCUACGGAACAACUCCGGGAAACUGGAGCUAAUACCGUAUACGCCCUUUGGGGGAAAGAUUUAUCGGGGAUGGAUGAGCCCGCGUUGGAUUAGCUAGUUGGUGGGGUAAAGGCCUACCAAGGCGACGAUCCAUAGCUGGUCUGAGAGGAUGAUCAGCCACAUUGGGACUGAGACACGGCCCAAACUCCUACGGGAGGCAGCAGUGGGGAAUAUUGGACAAUGGGCGCAAGCCUGAUCCAGCCAUGCCGCGUGAAUGAUGAAGGCCUUAGGGUUGUAAAGUUCUUUCACCGAUGAAGAUAAUGACGGUAGUCGGAGAAGAAGCCCCGGCUAACUACGUGCCAGCCGCCGCGGUAAUAC